CAGGCUAAUCCCGGUGGUGGCGCCGGCUCCAGAGCUUGGCAUUGUUCCUUGAGGGGCAUGCGUGGCGGCAGGGGGUGUGACAAACGGUGUCGGAGUUGGAGCAGUGACAGGAGGUGGUUGUUGUGGUUGGAUAUUUGCCCAUGUCGGAGUUGCUGCUGCUGCUACCGGUGCUGGGAGUGCUGGCAUAGGAUUAGACAUUGAUAUCGGUGUGUUGCUGCCACUGCCGCUUCCGAUGGUGAGACCCCCGGGAGAUGUGUGGAGGGCCUCAAGCUGGCUGAAGAAGCGGUAACUCUUGCCGUCCUGCCUGCCGGCCCUGCCCUCCUUGGUGCGCUUGUAGUACUUGUGCACGUUCUCAAAUUUCUCCUUGCAUUUCUUGGCGCUCCUUAUGUAGCCAAGCUCCCCCAAUUUCCUAGAGACAUUCUCCCACAGAGGACCCUUCAGCGAUGCGUCGCGAAACUCAGCAUCCAUCUCCGACCGGAUCUUCAGCAGCGCCAGCGUCUCCUCCCUCGGCCACCUGUUCCCGGGAGUCCCUCCCCUCUCCGCAUCCUCGCCUGCAGCGAGAGCAUCCUCAUCAUGGAAGCUCCCGGCUGCGGCAACGGCCAAUUCCCCGAAGUUCUGUGCCGCCGGAGGCGGCCUACUGCUGAUGGGAGCCGCCGCCUCCGCGUGCCCGGUGGGAAUUCCCGGGAAUUGGGGCCUGGGGUUUGCGGAGGAAGGGAAUGGUGCGAGCUCUGGUUGCGGAGCUGCGCCGCCGUAUUGGGCCCCACCUUGCUGGUGCUGCAUGACUAGUAGCAGUAGGAGUUACUGGCUACAGUAGUAGUAGAGAUGGUUGUAG
rnacentral:misc_RNA from 1 species